UACGUAGGCAGCAAGCGUUGUUCGGAGUUACUGGGCGUAAAGGGUGUGUAGGCGGUUCUUUAAGUUUGGUGUGAAAUCUCCCGGCUCAACUGGGAGGGUGCGCCGAAUACUGAGGGACUAGAGUACGGGAGAGGAAAGUGGAAUUCCUGGUGUAGCGGUGAAAUGCGUAGAUAUCAGGAGGAACACCGGUGGUGUAGACGGCUCACUGGCUCAUUACUGACGCUCAGGCGCGAUAGCGUGGGGAUCAAACAGG
rnacentral:rRNA from 1 species